CGGAAACAGAGAGUAACUUGUUACUUUGCUGUCGAGCGGCGGACGGGUGAGUAAUGCUUGGGAAACUGCCCAGUCGAGGGGGACAACCAUUGGAAACGAUGGCUAAUACCGCAUACGCCCUACGGGGGAAAGAAGGGGACUCUUCGGAGCCUUUCGCGAUUGGAUGUGCCCAAGUGGGAUUAGCUAGUUGGUGAGGUAAAGGCUCACCAAGGCGACGAUCCCUAGCUGGUUUGAGAGGAUGAUCAGCCACACUGGAACUGAGACACGGUCCAGACUCCUACGGGAGGCAGCAGUGGGGAAUAUUGCACAAUGGGCGCAAGCCUGAUGCAGCCAUGCCGCGUGUAUGAAGAAGGCCUUCGGGUUGUAAAGUACUUUCAGCGAGGAGGAAAGGGUAUAGCUUAAUACGCUGUAUCUGUGACGUUACUCGCAGAAGAAGGACCGGCUAACUCCGUGCCAGCAGCCGCGGUAAUACGGAGGGUCCGAGCGUUAAUCGGAAUUACUGGGCGUAAAGCGUACGCAGGCGGUUUGUUAAGCGAGAUGUGAAAGCCCCGGGCUCAACCUGGGAACUGCAUUUCGAACUGACAAACUAGAGUUUUGUAGAGGGUGGUAGAAUUUCAGGUGUAGCGGUGAAAUGCGUAGAGAUCUGAAGGAAUACCAGUGGCGAAGGCGGCCACCUGGACAAUAACUGACGCUCAUGUACGAAAGCGUGGGGAGCAAACGGGAUUAGAUACCCCGGUAGUCCACGCCGUAAACGAUGUCAACUAGCCGACUGGCGCCUUGAGCGCUGGGUGGCGCAGCUAACGCAUUAAGUUGACCGCCUGGGGAGUACGGCCGCAAGGUUA
rnacentral:rRNA from 1 species